GACGAACGCUGGCGGCGCGCUUAACACAUGCAAGUCGAGCGAUAACCAUGGCUUCGGCCAUGGGGAGAGCGGCGAACGGGUGAGUAACACGUGAGCGAUCUGCCCUCGACACCGGGAUAGCCCGGGGAAACCCGGAUUAAUACCGGGUGGCCUCUCGAGCCCACGGGCUCGUUAGAAAAGAUGGCUUCGGCUUUCGGCCGAGGCGGAGCUGGCGGUGGAUGAGCUUGUGGGUGGGGUAACGGCUCACCAAGGCGACGAUCCGUAGCUGGUCUGAGAGGACGAUCAGCCACACUGGGACUGAGACACGGCCCAGACUCCUACGGGAGGCAGCAGUGGGGAAUCUUGCGCAACGGGCGAAAGCCUGACGCAGCGACGCCGCGUGAGGGAAGAAGGCCUUCGGGUUGUAAACCUCUUUCAGGAGGGACGAAGCCACUCGGGUUAAUAGCCCAGAGGGUGACGGUACCUCCAGAAGAAGCCCCGGCUAACUACGUGCCAGCCGCCGCCGUAACAC
rnacentral:rRNA from 1 species